AAACAGUAAUGAUAAAAAAAAAGAAGAUUAUAUUUAGAAAUUGAAUUUAAGAGGUACGACAAAUAAUCCUUUUAUAGCACUUCAUUAUAACGUUUUAUUAAAUGAGCUAUAACCUUUUAUAGCUCUUCAAUAGUUGAUAUUUUGAUGGGUUGGUGGAGUCAAUAAAACCAAGUUGAAUGCGUUCUUCCGUUUCCAUUUUCUAUUUAAGGAUUUCGACUUCUCUCUUCCUCACUGUCUUUCUCUUUCACAAUUUCUCUUCUCCGCUGUCUUCUUCUUCUCCGGCUACAGAGUUCUUCGACUAGCGUUCCUCUUCUCCCUUCUUCCGCUAGGCCUUCCUCUUUCACUUUCAUUCUCCGGCUAAAGGAACUAUAUCUAAAUAAUAAGUGAAAAUAAAGUGAAAAGUCAUGCCAAAAAUGAAGCUUUGCAAUAUAGUGCUGGUGCAUUUCUUCUUGGAAGAUCUUGGCUGCCAAGGUGGGAUUUACUACUUGGGAUUUGAAGAACUGAAAAACUUGUGUUAUUUGUUGAUGAAUAAUGUGAUUUAACAAUGUCUUUGACUUGCUAUUGGAGCAAUGGUUUGAAGCUCUAUUAUCAUUAUCAUCUGUAUAUGAUAUUGUGGUCCGAUAUUCAUCAUUAUAUAUUCUAUUUCUAUUUUAUAUGAUUUUGGUUUUUAUUC